GUGCUUGCUUUGGCAGCACAUAUACUAAAAUUGGAAUGAUACAGGGAAGAUUAACAUGGCCCCUGCACAAAGCUGUGGAGUUCAAAAUCCUGUUUGACCUUUUU